rnacentral:rRNA from 1 species
GAUGAACGCUGGCGGCGUGCCUAAUACAUGCAAGUCGAGCGAACAGACGAGGAGCUUGCUCCUCUGACGUUAGCGGCGGACGGGUGAUUAACACGUGGAUAACCUACCUAUAAGACUUGGAUAACUUCUGGAAACCGGAGCUAAUACCGGAUAAUAUAUUGAACCGCAUGUUUCACUAGUUAAAGACGGUUUUGCUGUCACUUAUAUCUGGAUCCGCGCCGCAUUAGCUAGUUGGUAAGGUAACGGCUUACCAAGGCAACGAUGCGUAGCCGACCUGAGAGGGUGAUCGGCCACACUGGAACUGAGACACGGUCCAGACUCCUACGGGAGGCAGCAGUAGGGAAUCUUCCGCAAUGGGCGAAAGCCUGACGGAGCAACGCCGCGUGAAUGAUGAAGGUCUUCGGAUCGUAAAACUCUGUUAUUAGGGAAGAACAAAUGUGUAAGUAACUAUGCACGUCUUGACGGUACCUAAUCAGAAAGCCACGGCUAACUACGUG